AGCGAACGCUGGCGGCAGGCUUAACACAUGCAAGUCGAGCGGGCACUUCGGUGUCAGCGGCAGACGGGUGAGUAACGCGUGGGAACAUACCUUUUGGUUCGGAACAACACAGGGAAACUUGUGCUAAUACCGGAUAAGCCCUUACGGGGAAAGAUUUAUCGCCGAAAGAUUGGCCCGCGUCUGAUUAGCUUGUUGGUGAGGUAACGGCUCACCAAGGCGACGAUCAGUAGCUGGUCNGAGAGGAUGAUCAGCCACAUUGGGACUGAGACACGGCCCAAACUCCUACGGGAGGCAGCAGUGGGGAAUAUUGGACAAUGGGCGCAAGCCUGAUCCAGCCAUGCCGCGUGAGCGAUGAAGGCCCUAGGGUUGUAAAGCUC
rnacentral:rRNA from 1 species